rnacentral:misc_RNA from 1 species
GUGAUAUAUAAGAAUCAGGGACACCCUGAUGUUAGGGCUGUUAUUCCCAGGAGGGUAGAUUUGCCAGCAGAACGUGGAGUUUUGAUUGUUUCGGCUGCUAUGCAUAAGCAGAAGACAAUGUUUUUCUUUCUUUUGCAAACUGAAUAUGGAGAUAUCUUUAAAGUGACAUUGGACCACGACAAUGACAGGGUUAACGAGUUAAAGAUCAAGUAUUUUGAUACGAUUCCAGUCACUUCUUCUCUGUGUGUGUUGAAAUCAGGGUUCCUCUUUGCUUCGUCGGAGUUUGGGAAUCAUGCAUUGUA